UACAGAGGUCUCAAGCGUUGUUCGGAUUCAUUGGGCGUAAAGGGUGCGUAGGCGGCGCGGUAAGUCGGGUGUGAAAUUUCGAGGCUUAACUUCGAAACUGCAUUCGAUACUGCCGUGCUUGAGGACUGGAGAGGAGACUGGAAUUUACGGUGUAGCGGUGAAAUGCGUAGAUAUCAGGAGGAACACCAAUGGCGAAGGCAGCUCGCUGGGACGGUUACUGACGCUGGAGACGCGAAAGCGUGGGGAGCAAACAGG
rnacentral:rRNA from 1 species